rnacentral:rRNA from 1 species
GUAGGUGGCAAGCGUUGUCCGGAAUUAUUGGGCGUAAAGCGCGCGCAGGCGGUUCUUUAAGUCUGAUGUGAAAGCCCACGGGCUCAACCGUGGAGGUCAUUGGAAACUGGAGAACUUGAGUACAGAAGAGGAAAGCGGAAUUCCACGUGUAGCGGUGAAAUGCGUAGAGAUGUGGAGGAACACCAGUGGCGAGGGCGGCUUUCUGGUCUGUAACUGACGCUGAGGCGCGAAAGCGUGGGGAGCAAACAGGAUUAGAUACCCUGGUAGUCCACGCCGUAAACGAUGAGUGCUAAGUGUUAGGGGGUUUCCGCCCCUUAGUGCUGCAGCUAACGCAUUAAGCACUCCGCCUGGGGAGUACGGCCGCAAGGCUG